AGCGCAGACGGUUUAUUAAGUCUGAUGUGAAAGCCCGGAGCUCAACCCCGGUACUGCAUUGGAAACUGUCGUACUAGAGUGUCGGAGGGGUAAGCGGAAUUCCUAGUGUAGCGGUGAAAUGCGUAGAUAUUAGGAGGAACACCAGUGGCGAAGGCGGCUUACUGGACGAUAACUGACGCUGAGGCUCGAAAGCGUGGGGAGCAAACA
rnacentral:rRNA from 1 species